GGCAGCCGGGCAACUGAACCUUCUCCACGCCCAGGAAAGGGAGGCAUAUUUUCUGGAGAACUCUGGCCAGAAAGGCUCUGGGACCAGAGGCAGCAGGCACCCUGGAGUGUGGAGUGAGGCAGAAGGUAGAAAACAAGAAGCUGAAGCCCAAGUCCACCUACUGAAGCCUCUUUUUCCUGUUAAUGGACCUGAUUUGGAAUGAUCCUUCCCAGCUCUUGAUGAAUCUCUGCCAGAAGGAUUAUAGAAAUUGGUAUGACUCUUGGAGAAGGAGAUGUAGAAAAUCUGACUCUCCAGUCCAGUGGCCUGUGAAAAGCUCACUCAAUUAAAGAAAUGUCACCAUUUGCAUGAUUCAGAUCUGAAGGCGCUUCCUUUGCAGUGGAAAGAUAAGAGGCUCCUGUCACCUACAAGAGCACAGGAACAGACUUGACUAUUGCUGACAGUGACUCAUUUUGGGAUACAGAACAUAGUGGAGUAAAUAAGCUUACUGGAGUGAGACUACUGCAGGGAGGGUUGAGCUGUGACACUAUCGUCUUGUCUGCUUCUUAGGUGAGGAUAUGAGACCUAGGAAUUGCUGGAGCUUGUGUAUGAAGCAACCCUGUGGAAAGCAGAAGAAAAAAGAAAUGGAAUUCUUAGCUGCUGGAUCAGGCUUCAUCUAAAGUUGUGGGUACUAUGGACUUUUUAAUUGUGUGAGCCAAUAAGUGUCCUUUAUUAUUUAAAUGAGUUCCAUCUCUUGUAACAAAAUGAUUUCUAAUCAAUAGACUGGGAAAAACACUUGCAACUAAGUAUUCCUAGUACAUUAAAAAAUUCUUUAGUACAAAGAAUAUUCCUUACUGUAUAUAUUUCAUUAGCAUAUAAAUAAAUUUUAGAAUUAGUAAGAAAAAGAAUAACUCAAUAGAUAAAUGACAAAGAACACAAAGAAGGAAAGGAAAUGGCUUACAAGUAUAUGAAAUGUAUUCAAUCUUAUUUAUGAUUAAUUAUAAAUUGAAAUGACCUACCUCUUUUAAUAAUUGGAAUGAGGAAGAUAAAAAAGAAACCAUGCAGUGUUAGUAAACAAUAGGCAAACAUGUACUCUGUGUGGAGGCAGAAGAUAAUAAACUGGAGGUAAUUGGCAACAUCUAUCAAAAUUGUUGGUAAACAUAUCCUGUGACCAGGCAAAUUUCACUUCUAGGAAUUUACCCUACAGAUAAACUCCCAUGAGGAAGAAAAUAUAUUGGAUUCUACACUGUGUUCCAUUGGUUAAUUUGGUAAUUAAGCUCCUUUUUGUUCUUCUUCAAGUCUGACUAUUCCAAGUCCUUACAUUUCCAUAUGCUGAUAUUAAUGUAGUCACACCAACAUUCUUUUGGUUGAUGUUUGCAUACUAUCUUGAUCACAAAGAUAAUUUCUUUUCUUAAUUUUCCUCAUCUUUAACAUGGACUUUUGUUACAACCUGUUUCAUGUUGCUUUGUGGUUAGUUAUGUUGCCCUCUUCCCCUAACUAGAUCCCUCAGCUGCAGAGAGGAAGGAGAGGCCAGGAGUCCAGCAUCACACAAAGCUUGGCAUUUGUGGUAGGUUCUUUCUCUAAAAUAAAAUGUUGGUUGCAACACUAGAUUUCUCAAGGGGAAGCCAUGUGAAAGCGGACCGAAGACAUAGUGCUAUCGCUGGGAAGCAUAUAGCAUCUCAUCAAAGCAGACAAGGCAACAUUUUCAUUCAGCAAAGCAUAGGAAUGACAUUGAGAAGAGUGGCAAAUCCUUGGAGCAGGGAGUCAAAUCUGUGGUGGUCUCUUCUGUUUCCCCAGGGCCAGCCAGUAUCUAGCAAGAGUGUGUCAUAAAUGUAUAUUGAAGAAUUAAAUGACUUUCAGGGGGACAUUUCCUGUUUUCAACGUUUAACCUUUUGCAGAAGAGAUGCCGAGUAGAUCAACUGAGCACACAGAAGGUAUUUACAAGGCUUCCCACAUGUAACACAUCUUCAAUGAAUGGGAAGAGGGAAGAUGGUAGAAAUAUCUAAUCAUUUAAGAUGCUUUCUAGCCUUAUAAAAUAACAUGAGCAAAUUUGUCAUUUUGAUAACAUUUGGAUUCUGCCAAAUGAGGAACAAUUUCUCUGGAUUUGUGGGUUUUAAAAUGUGAGGCAAAGGAAGCAUGCUGUGGUCUACACAGUCUCCAGUAGGUGAUUGGAUCCAGGACCCCCACAAAUGCCCAAAUCCUCAGAUGCUUGAGGUCCUUAGAUAGAAAUGACAUAAUGUUUGUGUGUAACGUACACAUAUCCUCCCAUAUACUUUAGGUCAUCUCUAGAUUAUUUAUAAUACCUAAUAUAGUGCGAAAGCUAUGUAAAUAGUUGCUAUACUAUAUUAUUUAAGGAAUCAUGACAAGGGAAAGAGUCUGUAUAUGUUCAGUACUGAUGAUGAUUUUUGUUUCUAAAUAUUUUUCAGUCAGUGAUUGGUUGAAUAUGUGGAUUUGGAUACAGAGGGUCAACUGUACUCUUGUCACUGAGAGGGGAAUUUAUCAGACAAUAUGGUUGCAAUGGUCUGGUCCCAGUGUAAUGAUUAUACUUCUGAUCCUAAUUUCAAUUCCACAGGGCAUAAAAUCACCAAUAGUAAAGUAUACUGCUUCCCAUCAGGGAUGUGGUAACAAUGUAGGUUCCUGUAUGCACAGUUAGUGUCACAUAGCUCUCACACUGGUGGAAAGGGCUUUUACCAUUGGAAGAGGAAAAUCCAAACAAGAUGGAAUAACCCUUUGAAGUUCACUUUAAUCGAAGGAUAUUUACAUAAUUCACUUUGGAUUGUACCUCUUUAAAUGGUUGUACUUCCUGUCUAUAUCCACACCUAAAAAGUGUCAGUCAUUUAUAGUCCUUUCUCAUGUUUUUAUUGGCAUUUUUAUUAUAAAACCAAAUAUAGUAAAAAUUUCUAAUCAAAAAAGAAAUGAAAAGUUACUGCAUCACUUUGGAUUUUAUCAGUACUGUCCACUACAGAGGAGUAGAUAAAUAGAUGGUAAACUUUUGAGGCUCUCAUUGAAUAUGUAAAUAUGAGAAUCUGCCACAGAAAAAAGUUCAAGUAUUACAGGGAAAGAAUGUCUAACUUAUAACGUUUAAUUUAUUAUAGCCAAAGUUUGUCCUGUUUUUUGUUUUGUUGUUGUCCACAUUAAAACUAUCAUAUUUAUAAACAUUUUAUUUCUUACACAGCAAAUCUUUCAAGAGAUAUGAAUAUAGUACUGCCACCUCCUGGAAAUAUAAAUAUUCAAUGAUAUAAUUUGCAAAAUUAUAUGAACAUAAUACAUGCAUGUUUGGCCAGUAUUUUUUUUCAGUACCUGGAAUCAAACUCAGGGCCUUGCACUUGCCAGGCAGGUGCAGCACCACUGAGCUACAUCCUCAGCCCCCCUGGCCAGUAUUUUUUAAUGAAAGAGCUUAAAGCUUUAAUUUUUGGGCUGGAUAAAGAUAAAAAGGUAUGAUGAUGAAAUCUUACUGUUUUCCAAAACUCAGGAGGCUAAAUGAUGUUUUAAAGACAUAGUCAAAGCUAAAAAACUAUUAAAAUCUUUAUAGCUAAGUGGUUAAAACCAUACAUUACAUUUCCCCUAAAAGCAUAUACAUUUAUCCAAGUGUUAACAAUAUUUUCAUAAAGAUCAAGAAUAUUAAAAAAAAAUUAACUAUUUAGUCAGAUCUCCAGUGUGUGGCUUCUGUCGCCAGUGACUCUGGCAUGUGCUGUGCCAUCUCAUCAGUAGGCCACUGGGAGAAAAGUGUUCUCGCCAACACUUCAGGAUACCUGUGUUAGUUUACCUCUCAGUUGAUGAAAGAAGAGAUUAAUUCUGAACGUGAUUACUUUAGUGCAGCCUGGCUUUCCCUGAAGCAUUAACAGGUCAUGGUGACAUGUCCUUUCAAUGUCACAUGGGACAAAACCCCCAGAGGAUUAGCUGGAGAAAUGAAAUUUGAUUCAGUAUUUAUUAAAGGUCCCAGACUUAGUGAAGUUACAUGUUAGUUUGGAGAUUUUGCCUGAUAAAGGAACAAUUUCUCUUCUGUGGAAAUGAUCCACAGAAGGUUUAUGUCCCCUUGGACAUUAGCCAGGUUUGUGUAUGACCUGGCAAUUGUGUCUUCACAUUGUCAAAAAUUCCCCAACUUUCCAGAUGUUCUUGGAGCCAGUUUUCAUCUCUUACUGUUAUUCUCAUUAAUGAACAUACUGAGUAAAAUCUUAUCAUGUAUUUAUUUGUACAAGAAUGCCAUGUCUUGUAACCUUUUGAAAAUUAAAUUGAUCAGUUCCAAAGGUCAUGCAUUGAAAUGUUUGAGGGGAUAACCCCCAUUUGCCUGCAAAUCUUUCCUUGACCUCUAGUUUGCACACGUUGAAUAAAUUAUUCUCUAUUAGUGGCAGCAGUGUCUGGGGAUUUGCUUUUAUGAUCUGACUAUUCAGUGAUCUCUAUUGGAUGAAUAGUGGGAGACUUGUUCUCUGUUGAGUGAGAAAUGACAGAGAAUCCUGUGUGGUUUUUAAUAGAGUUUGCUUUGUUUGGCUCAUUUGUUUAUACACAAUCUCAAAUCAAUUAAGAACUUAUAUAUUCAGUGGACAGGAACAUAACUCUGAAUUUUUUGACCUGCGGCUAAAUUUGUAGAUCUGAAGCUACAAGCUCACUAGGUGUCUUAUAUCUGUAAUUAAGAAAGGUCUUUAGCCCUCUGUAUAAGUAUGAAAUAUUUCCUAUCUCUAGAAGGUAUUAAUGAAUUAGAUUAUAAUAUUGUUUACGUUGAAAGAGCAUUGGUAUGGUUAGCUUAUAGAGAUGAUCAUUCAAAUGAUUAAUAAAUAAAUGUUUUCCAAAUUUAAACCAUACAGAAUGAACCUCUUGUAAUUCAAAUUGUGCUAGUCUUUUAAGAAAGAUGGUUGUUUUUCUAGAAAUCACUAUCUCAGAAACAUUUUGUGAAUCCAAGUUUACAUAGUGAAGGUGAGUCUUUGAACAAAUUAGCUGAUUUAAUAGUUUGAACAAUGGCUAUACACCUUUUCCCUGAGCUUAUCACUACAGGGCAUGAUACAAGCAUACAUUUAAUUUUUUUUUUUUUUUGGUACCAGAGAUUGAACUUGGGACCUUAUGCUUGCGAGGCAGGCGCCAGAACCACUGAGCUAAAUCUCCAGCCCCUGAUACAUUUAAUUUUUUAAAUUAAAAUUUAGGGCUUUUAAUCUCAGAAAAACACUAAUUUUAUUUCUUAAACUUGUUAUAUCAGUUUGUGAUCAAAUAAGAUAAAUAUUGCUAUGUUAAAGAUUACAAAAUCUUCAAUUUGUAUUCAACUAAAUUGAAUCAUGAUUUUGAACAAGUUUCUAGUAUCAUCAGUAAUAACUUAUAGUUUGUCAGAUUUAACUUAAUUUCCAAGAUCCUUAAAUAAUUUAAAGCUUAGAUUAAUAACACAGUAAGUCAUAAAUGAAUAAUUAUUAGAUAUUUAGAUAAUUUCCCAGUAAAAUAGACCAUUUAAGCAAUGACUAUUAAUCAUAUUUUUGGGUUUAUAUACUUUUGGUUCUUAUUUUUGCAUAUUAAACAUUAGCUCUAUCUUUGGGACACAUUAAUGAAUAAGUGUUCAUUUUUACCACUUUAACAAAGUUCAAAAGAGAUGUAUGGGGCUGUAGGAAGUUCUGUGUUUAUUCAUGAGCUUUUCUACCCUGCUACAAUUCUUUGCACUGACAUUUCUCAACUAUUUACCUUCUCAUUUCUCCAUAAAAAUGAAUUAUUAGCUUAGUUAAAAAUUAUAAUUAAUGUAGAUGAUGAAAACUAUGUCAGUAGUGGUAGAGAAAUUCAACUGUGUGCGUGGUUUUCUUUCCUAAGAAAAAAGACAAUGGUUGACCUACAACCAUUGACCUACAAGGAAGCGGCAUUGUUUCAGAACACAAAAGAGCAGAGGGAAAGAUAACCUUGUGUAACAAAUUGAGGCUGUGUAACAAGUUGUAGAGGGAAAGAAGAAGGGAAUUUUAUAUCCCUUGAUUUAUAACAUCUCCCUGAAGAGAAGUCAGUUGAAUGUCUUAUAAUUUUGGCAAAUUUCUAUCAGUUUUGAUGGCCCUUGGAUACAAGAUGACUUAAGGAAAAAUAAACUAGCUCACAAAACUUUAUUGACAAAUUUUACAGUACUACAAAGCUAGAAUUCUAUUUUUCCCUCUGUUAAAAUGAUGAAUUGGUCUCUGUGCCCUCAUGCAGUGGCAGUGAACAAAUUAUUUUUUACCUUUUGUGUAAUCUGUACAGAUAGAAAUUGCCAAGUCUCAGCAUAAUUUCGUUGUUUUGUAUCAAUUUUACUAUCCCCUUGAUUAUGUAAACAUUAAAUAAAAGCCAAGUUUUCUCAUUUGUGAAAGACCUGACUUUCUUAUAGUUGUAUUGCCUUCUUGUAUGUUUAUCUAAAAAUAUUUUACUGUCAUUUUGAUGAAAUAGGUAACCAAUUGUUGUUUCUAAGCACCCAUAGACUAUUGUCCAAAUCUUCUCUUAUAACCUGAUUUUGUCUCCAAGGAUCAGAUUCUAAAUUUAGAAAAGAAAUACUGUUUUUUUCCAGGAUGGUUUGUGUACUUAACAGCUAUCUUUGAGAAUUCCCAGAGAGACCUUGGAAGGUUACAAAGAUUUGUCAUUUCACUGUAUAAAAAGAGGGAGGCUGGAAACAAGUAAGUUUGUUUGGUGUUUUCCAUAUUUCUUAAUUAGCUCAGUAUUACAGAAAGAAUACCAUGGGAAAAUUUGUCAAACAGGAAAAGAUGUUGAGGUUUCCUGAGGUUAAAUCUGUAUGGGUAUAAUGCUACUAAUAUAAACAUUUCAGAUAUUGUACAUUUUCUAGAAAGGCUUUGAAGAUUUGUUAAUACGUUAAUGGCUGUAAUAUGUCCUUAUCUCCAAGGGAAAUAUUGAUCAAUUUUAAUGAAAUAGUUAUGUAGGGUGCCACAAAGAAGAAUUUUAUUUCUCCUCUUUUUUGAUUUUGUGUUGUAUGAAGGUAGUCAAUCAUUCAGUCUAUCAUUUCUGCUUUUACUGUAUGUCUGUCUAAGAUCAGAGCCUCUAGUGUCUGAGCCACAUAUAAAUAUGUUCCAGAUACUCUUAUUGCUGUCUGUAAAUAAUAGUCUUUUGGAAACAUGCUUUCUUGGCUGGUAUUUUUUAGGCUGUAUGGUAGACUGAGUCAGAAUUUCUGGAUUCCAAGAUUCCAAAGAUUCUUUUCAGUUCAAAUGUACUUUAUGGUAGCUUAGUUCUUGAUCUCAGUCAGGAAAUAAGACUUAAUUAUCCAAGAGGACCAAAUGAACUGAUGAGGAAAAAUGUUACUAUGUGUUAACUUCCCCAAGCAUUGGUGGAGCACACUUCUGGGUAUGUGUAGGUGGGUAAUGGAGGUGUGACUUUGGAUCCUAUAUCUGGUUCUUUGCCCCUUCCUCUCUGGUGCUGCUACCCUGCCCUUCUUCCUGACCCCAGUGAACUAUGCAUCUCUGCUCUGCCAAAUCCUUCAACCAUGAUGUUCCUGCCUUGGAGCCUGCCGACCAUGCAUUCAAUUCCCUGAAAUCAUGAGCUAAAUUAAAUCUCUCCUUUAAGUUUCAGGUGUUGGGUAUUGUAGCCUAACAACAGGAAAGCUGGCUAAUACAGAAAAUUGGUAGUUAAGAAAUGCAGUUGUGGCUGUGAUUGUACUUGACUAUGUGGUUUAGAAGCCUUCGGAACUGGAUUGUAGGAGGAGUUUGGUAAGGUUUGGAGAUGCAGGCUAGAGAAGCCUUUAGAUGCUGUAAGUAGAGCCUGAUGGGGCUCAGAAAAUCAGAAUACUGAUAGGGUGUAGAGGUUAAAGUACAGGCUAUGAGCAACCCAGCCCAAGAGAAAG
ensembl:lncRNA